UACGUAGGGUGCGAGCGUUGUCCGGAAUUAUUGGGCGUAAAGGGCUCGUAGGCGGUUUGUCGCGUCGGGAGUGAAAACCCAGGGCUUAACCCUGGGCUGGCUUCCGAUACGGGCAGACUAGAGGUAUGCAGGGGAGAACGGAAUUCCUGGUGUAGCGGUGAAAUGCGCAGAUAUCAGGAAGAACACCCGUGGCGAAGGCGGCUUUCUGGGCCUUACCUGACGCUGAGACGCGAAAGCGUGGGGAGCGAACCGG
rnacentral:rRNA from 1 species